rnacentral:rRNA from 1 species
AAUAUAUUUAGGUAUAGCGUUGUGUCGUAAUAUAAGGGGGUAGAGCACUGAAUGGGCUAGGGCAUACACCAAUGUACCAAACCCUAUCAAACUCCGAAUACCUUAUAUGUAAUCACAGCAGUCAGGCGGCGAGUGAUAAAAUCCGUCGUCAAGAGGGAAACAACCCAGACUACCAGCUAAGGUCCCUAAAUCUUACUUAAGUGGAAAACGAUGUGAAGUUACUUAAACAACCAGGAGGUUGGCUUAGAAGCAGCCAUCCUUUAAAGAAAGCGUAAUAGCUCACUGGUCUAGUGAUUUUGCGCGGAAAAUAUAACGGGGCUAAAGUAAGUACCGAAGCUGUAGACUUGCACACAACUUAGAUUAUUUAAGUUUAGAAUAUGAGAAACUAAGUUAUAUGUUUAGUUAUAUUUUUACUGGUUUUUAUAGAGUAAAGAUAGAAAUAAAACUUAGUAAAAUCAGUAAAAAUAUUCUUAGACUAAAGUUAAGUAGUUUAAGUUGUGUGCAAGUGGUAGGAGAGCGUUCUAUUUGCGUCGAAGGUAUACCGGUAAGGAGUGCUGGAGCGAAUAGAAGUGAGCAUGCAGGCAUGAGUAGCGAUAAUUAAUGUGAGAAUCAUUAACGCCGUAAACCCAAGGUUUCCUACGCGAUGCUCGUCAUCGUAGGGUUAGUCGGGUCCUAAGUCGAGUCCGAAAGGGGUAGACGAUGGCAAAUUGGUUAAUAUUCCAAUACCAACAUUAGUGUGCGAUGGAAGGACGCUUAGGGCUAAGGGGGCUAGCGGAUGGAAGUGCUAGUCUAAGGUCGUAGGAGGUUAUACAGGCAAAUCCGUAUAACAAUACUCCGAGAACUGAAAGGCUUUUUGAAGUCUUCGGAUGGAUAGAAGAACCCCUGAUGCCGUCGAGCCAAGAAAAGUUUCUAAGUUUAGCUAAUGUUGCCCGUACCGUAAACCGACACAGGUGGGUGGGAUGAGUAUUCUAAGGCGCGUGGAAGAACUCUCUUUAAGGAACUCUGCAAAAUAGCACCGUAUCUUCGGUAUAAGGUGUGGUUAGCUUUGUAUUAGGAUUUACUCCGAAAGCAAGGAAACUUACAACAAAGAGUCCCUCCCGACUGUUUACCAAAAACACAGCACUCUGCUAACUCGUAAGAGGAUGUAUAGGGUGUGACGCCUGCCCGGUGCUCGAAGGUUAAUUGAUGGGGUUAGCAUUAGCGAAGCUCUUGAUCGAAGCCCGAGUAAACGGCGGCCGUAACUAUAACGGUCCUAAGGUAGCGAAAUUCCUUGUCGGUUAAAUACCGACCUGCAUGAAUGGCGUAACGAGAUGGGAGCUGUCUCAAAGAGGGAUCCAGUGAAAUUGUAGUGGAGGUGAAAAUUCCUCCUACCCGCGGCAAGACGGAAAGACCCCGUGGACCUUUACUACAGCUUGACACUGCUACUUGGAUAAGAAUGUGCAGGAUAGGUGGGAGGCUUUGAGUAUAUGACGCCAGUUGUAUAUGAGCCAUUGUUGAGAUACCACUCUUUCUUAUUUGGGUAGCUAACCAGCUUGAGUUAUCCUCAAGUGGGACAAUGUCUGGUGGGUAGUUUGACUGGGGCGGUCGCCUCCCAAAUAAUAACGGAGGCUUACAAAGGUUGGCUCAGAACGGUUGGAAAUCGUUCGUAGAGUAUAAAGGUAUAAGCCAGCUUAACUGCAAGACAUACAAGUCAAGCAGAGACGAAAGUCGGUCUUAGUGAUCCGGUGGUUCUGUGUGGAAGGGCCAUCGCUCAAAGGAUAAAAGGUACCCCGGGGAUAACAGGCUGAUCUCCCCCAAGAGCUCACAUCGACGGGGAGGUUUGGCACCUCGAUGUCGGCUCAUCGCAUCCUGGGGCUGGAGCAGGUCCCAAGGGUAUGGCUGUUCGCCAUUUAAAGCGGUACGCGAGCUGGGUUCAGAACGUCGUGAGACAGUUCGGUCCCUAUCUGCCGUGGGCGUAAGAAGAUUGAAGAGAUUUGACCCUAGUACGAGAGGACCGGGUUGAACAAACCACUGGUGUAGCUGUUGUUCUGCCAAGAGCAUCGCAGCGUAGCUAAGUUUGGAAAGGAUAAACGCUGAAAGCAUCUAAGCGUGAAGCCAACUCUAAGAUGAAUCUUCUCUAAGCUCUCUAGAAGACUACUAGUUUGAUAGGCUGGGUGUGUAAUGGAUGAAAGUCCUUUAGCUGACCAGUACUAAUAGAGCGUUUGGCUUAUCUUUAAUAAAGCAU